rnacentral:rRNA from 1 species
GUUAAAAAGCUCGUAGUUGGAUUUCGGAGUGGGCCAGUUGGUCCGCCGCAAGGUGUGUUACUGACUGGUUUGCUCUUCUUCGCAAAGACUGCGUGUGCUCUUCAGUGAGUGUGCGUAGGAUUUACGACGUUUACUUUGAAAAAAUUAGAGUGUUCAAAGCAGGCUAUUGCUUGAAUACAUGAGCAUGGAAUAAUGGAAUAGGACUUUGGUCCCAUUUUGUUGGUUUCUAGGGCCGAAGUAAUGAUUAAGAGGGACAAUUGGGGGCAUCCGUAUUUCGUUGUCAGAGGUGAAAUUCUUGGAUUUACGAAAGACGAACAACUGCGAAAGCACUUGCCAAGAGUGUUCUCAUUAAUCAAGAACGAAAGUUAGAGGAUCGAAGACGAUCAGAUACCGUCCUAGUUCUAACCAUAAACGAUGUCGACUAGGGAUCAGCGGGCGUUAUCGUGCGACCCCGUUGGCACCUUACGGGAAACCAAAGUUUCUGGAUUCCGGGGGAAGUAUGGUUGCAAAGCUGAAACUUAAAGGAAUUGACGGAAGGGCACCACCAGGAGUGGAGCCUGUGGCUCAAUUUGACUCGACACGGGAAAA